UGAUUUGAUCACAAAGUGACCCUGCGUGGUUGUUUUGGGAGCGCAGAGGCUGGAGGUGAAGGAAGUGGGGGCGUGUCGAGACUUGUGGACCAGGUGACUGCUGACAAGGAGAGAAUAAGCUGGAGACACAACCGCGGAAGAGCUCUCCUUGGGUUAGGGGAAGGCUGAAUCCUUGUCACUGCUGUGUGUCCCCAGACGGACACGCUCCAAUUGUCUGGAGGUCUUCCUCACCAGUCAAGAAAAUAAAAUCCGGAAACAGCCUCCGGGCCGGCUUUAGCUCAGCGGUUACUUCGACAAUGCUUUCUUUGGUUGAAAACAAUCACUCUGCGUGGUUCGAGACCCGCGGGCGCUCUCCGGCCUUUUUACUCCUGAAGUUUAGCUCCCUUUCCAUGAUAAAAGGAACCAGGGCUCCCGGGAGAAAUGGCUGAUUUUGGUACUGGGCAGGAAAUACAGAGAUGGACGUGGAGUAUCUCCUAGUGGUACAAAGUAAGGAAGUGCUUAAAAA